rnacentral:rRNA from 1 species
UACAGGGGGUGCAAACGUUGCUCGGAAUCAUUGGGCGUAAAGCGCACGUAGGCGGUUCGUUAAGUCGGAUGUGAAAGCCCUCGGCUCAACUGAGGAAGUGCACCCGAAACUGGCGAGCUUGAGUACGAAAGAGGAUCGCGGAAUUCCCGGUGUAGAGGUGAAAUUCGUAGAUAUCAGGAGGAACACCAACAGCGAAGGCAGAUCUCUGGGACGUUACUGACGCUGAGACGCGAAAGCGUGGGGAGCAAACAGG